CCGGAGCCAGGCUCAGUGUACGUGGGCUGGUAGGACUUGCAGGCCAGGGCCCAGGCUGGGGGGCUGAAGCUGGGCAACUGCUGUGGAAAUUUCCAUGGGCUGUCCACCAGCUCUCGGGAAGCUGUGGAACUCCUCAUGGCAUGAGGAGGACACAGGUUAUGAAAGAGGCACAAGAUGUGGUCCCAGGUCACAAGGAGUUAGGCCCCUAGAGAGGAGACCCAGAGAUGCUUGCCAAGAAAGCAAGUGAACAAGCAGGCUGGAAAAUCUUAAGUUGUAAAGCAGGUCAAGACAUGGAACCGGACAAGAAAAAGUCAACAUCGCCUUUCAAUUAUUCGAACCCCAUUUCACCUUCGAAGAAAAAUGUUGAAAAUACAAACUUCACAUAAAGAUUCCUUUUUAGGCUGGCUUUCUUCGUGGUUACAAGAUGCCUGUGAACAGCAGCUCAGUUAGUACUGACCAACUUAGUUGAAAUUUCUUGACAACUAAUCUGGGGAGAAAAGGACUACUGCUUCCCUUAACCACUGAGGGGGACACGGGUUCGAUCCCUGGUCCGGGAAGAUCCCACAUGCUGCGGAGCAACUAAGCCCGUGCACCACAACUUCUGAGCCCGCAUGCCACAACUACUGAGCCCGCGCGCCUAGAGCCCGUGCUCCACAACAAGAGAAGCCACCGCAAUGAGAAGCCUGCGCACCGCAACGAAGAGUAGACCCCGCUUGCUGCAACUAGAGAAAGCCCGUGUGCAGCAAUGAAGACUCAAUGCAGCCAAAAAUAAAUAAAUAAAAAUUGAAAAAA